GGCGGGCGGCGCGGUGCCGCCGGCCAGGCCCCUUGGGGGGUCAGGGGGAGGGCGCCGGUGCGCCUCAGGUCGAGUUCCUGCGGAGGCUGCGCUGUCCUGCCCGAGCCAGGAGGGCCCGCUACCUGCAAACUCAAGAAAAGAAGAGAUCUGUAAUUCUUCAUCACUGGCUUUAUUGGAGAUCAGAAGAGAGCAGGACAACAAUGACACCAUUAGAAUCAUCUGGAGAAAAGCAUGAGUAAAGAGAAGGAAAGACCAAAGGAUUUUCUGAGGUUCCACGGUCUUCUCUAUUGCUAGCAUAUUCUGCUGUAGCAUUUACAUCUAGAGCAUUUUCCAGACCAUCUGGAGCAAAGCUGUGUGCAAAGGAAUAAAUCGACACAGACGCUGUGCUCUUCAUGUAAAUCUGUUUCCCGAGCCUCUCUAUCAGUCAGGCAGGUUUAGAAGCUCUGGAACCAGCUCUGUACCCUGCCCCACAUGACUUCCCACAAAACGCUGUUGUCUUCACUGGGAUCCUGUCCUGGGUUUCCUUCGGUGUUGGAUUUGACAGGGACUGGCUCAUGCCUCCACACACCUUUGCUGAGGUACACCCACUAACCACAUGUUUUAGUGCAUUUCCUCCUUCAUUUGCUUUAUUUUAAAUAAACUCUACACGUUAAAUGCUUCUGGAGAGGAAAACUGUUACAAAAUAGGUUGGGAGUGAAACUGGUAGGUACUGAAUAGGCUUUAAUGGAAACUAAAUAUUUAGAGAGGACAGACAUGAUAACUAUAGAGACUUUUUGAGCAAUCUUCGGGGCAGAAACAGUUUUGUAGAUGGCCGCGAUCCAGCAAACUGCUUAAGACACAGGCACAGUCUCAUUGAGUUAAUUGAGAAUAUAUGUGUGUGUUUCAGUGCUUUGCUGGACGUCAGCCUCGAAUACGCUAUGCUUUCACUUAAAUUCCAUUUUUAGGUUCUGUUUUCAUGUAAGAACAGGAAUCUUCACUGGUUCAUUGCCUUAUAUUAUGACACCAGCAGGAGACAGUAUCAAUCUGUAAGCAUCAAUCAAUAGCUAAACAUUGAAAUGAAGCCUGAUUUAAAAAAUAUAAACACUUAAUAACUAUCCCUAAGAGCCCCUAAAGCUGUUCCAUUUGUAAUAAAUGACUUCCAAAAGCAAAUUUACUUUUGGGCUAAU